rnacentral:rRNA from 1 species
UACGGAGGGUGCAAGCGUUGCUCGGAAUUACUGGGCGUAAAGCGUACGCAGGCGGCACGAUGUGUCGGGUGUGAAAGCCCUGGGCUCAACCCAGGAACGGCAUCCGAAACUGUCGCGCUAGAGUUCGGGAGAGGGAAGUGGAAUUCCUGGUGUAGAGGUGAAAUUCGUUGAUAUCAGGAGGAACACCGGCGGCGAAAGCGGCUUCCUGGCCCGAUACUGACGCUCAUGUACGAAAGCGUGGGGAGCAAACAGG